GAGGGGAGGUGCCGGCCGCCGCGCAGCCCCCGCAGCAGCAGUACUAUCUCAAGGUGCACCUGGGGGAGAACAAGAUCCACACCGCCAGGUUUCACAGCCUGGAAGACCUCAUCCGCGAGAAGCGCCGCAUCGACGCCAGCGGCCGCCUGCGCGUGCUCCAGGAGCUCGCCGACCUCGUGGACGACAAGGAGUAGCUGCCGAGGGGCUGCCGGCCCCGCCGCCUCCCCGCGUCCCGCACCCAUCCAGUCCCCGCACCCGGACUUCGCGGCCGGCGGUUUUCAACCCCAGUCCCCUGGCGCGCCCGCCGCCGGUGGCCGAGGCCCGGGCUGCACCUUCGCACCUCGCUCCCCGGCCAGCGGCAGGAAGUCUCAGGAACUGCCCCGGGGCCGAAAGGGCGCAGCUGAACGGGUGGCGACGGUGCUGGGAGACCCGGCGUGCGCUUUCCCCUUAAGAUGUGAACCAGGAAAGGGGAAGGGGCUGAGGGGAGAAAGGACGUGGCCUCCCCCGCGAGUCCAUGGUCAGUGACUGUGACCCGACCGGGAAACGACCCUCUUCUCAAAAGCCACCAUCACCGCCCCGAGCGCGCGCGCACAGACCGGUCGGAGGCGAGAAUUGGUCUUUUCAGGGCACAGUUCAGCUCCUCUGUGGAUGCGUCCCCAGAUGGCAGGAUUUCCAAGAAAUCGAGACUGUCCCUCGUGCGCUUGGGAAUAAUAAUUCCCCAAGACAGCACUUGGGGAUUCCGGGUUAUCCUGAGGCUGCCCGGGACUUCUCCAGCUCUCCAGCCCCAGGUAACCUGACAUUGUGUUCCAGGCUGCGGGCUAAGCCAGACAGUGUUCGUUCGCCUCCCGUUCUUUCCACCGAGGGAAGUGAACGCCACCCCCACCCGCCUUUGCCUGCGAGUCUCCCUCGCUGGCCGAAGGGAAGCCGGUCGGGUCCCGGGAGGAAGAUGGCGCAGCGAAUUCGGUGAGGACGGCCGGCCCCGCCCCCGACAAGGAACUCGCUCGUUCACCUGGUGUCUGGGAACUUGAAUGUGUGAUGGGCGCUUAUUGUUCUGAACCCUUGAUGGCUCCCUCCUAGGGCUGCAUUUCAAAAAUAGUCAUAUUUUUAAAGGAGUUGGAGGAGAGGGAGGGGGAGGACAUGGCACCAUUCCAGAAACCAGCAUUAUUACAACACCAUAGCCAGUAUGUUUAGUUUGGCUUUUCCUAACAUAGAAAUCUUUGAAGGUGGGGGAGUGGAAAUAAAGUUUAAAAAAUGAGAGAGCAGUUUUCCAACUAUGUCAACAAAGCCUAUCGUGUUGAUGUUUUUAUUGACCAUUUUAGCAACAUGCUAAUAAAAUUUCAAAUUGAAAUUUUUAUUUUCAUGGCUUUAAUCCAUGAUAGUUUAAAUACUGGGGGCCAUUAAGAGUGGAUGUAGCUAAGAGCUUAGCUAACAUUGCCUUUUCACUCUAUUUUUCUCAAAUAUUAUAAGAAUUCUGUUUUUGACUAUUGUAGUUUUUUGGCUUUAAACAGCAGCCCUAGUAAUGGUGGAGUUGUUAAUGAAUGUGUAUAUUGUACUGAAUUUCUGUCAGUUAAGGGGUUCACUGCUUUGGUGGAAAUUGCUAGCAGGUUCCAUGAUGUUUCUUUUAUCCAUGUUGUACCUCAUCACCAUUUCACAUUUGCAUUUCUAUUUUUCUUCUUCUCCUCCUGAUCUCCUUAAAACUGAAUCUAGAGUUGGUGGCUUUUCCCCCUCCUCUUUAGCCAGUUUCACAGUUCAAUUCUUGCUGAAAACAGGGAAGAACUAGUAGGAUCAGGACAAAUGCUUGUUUUUCAAAAACUGAAGGCUGGGUGUGAAACCCCUUCCUUAGACAAGGAUUAUAAACUUCUCUCCUCCUGCUGCAGCCCCAGCCUAACUGAUAGUUACUUGAUUCAAUGUGUUAGACGCUUAUAGCAUUUAGGUCUCUUUCAAGGGAAUUUGUCAAAUAAUGCUGUUUAGCUAAUUGUUGCAAGCAAUUGCACAUUAACAGCUGUGAUUUGGUUGGUCAGAAAGUAUUACGACCAAAGCCAGUUUCUUGGCAUUUCAAAAAUAAUGCAAUAAAAACUAGUUGAGGUUACCUGAGACUGAAAAUGCCUUUUUCAUGGUAAAUGAUUCACUUCUAUUUUUUUUUCUUUCUUUUCUUCUUUAGUUUUCAUCCUGGAUUCAUUCCCUGAUCUUAAAUCAAAAGGUCAGAUCAAUGAAAUAUGAACUAAAGUAUUUUUCUUAAGCCUAUUGAGUGAUUUAUUUUUUAAAAAAUGUUCAAAUGCAUAUGCUUUUCUUUUAGCACAACAGCAAAACUUUUGUAAUAACUAACUUACCCUUGCAUGUAUAAAUAACUGAAAGUCAUUUAUUUCCCUAGCUUAUUCCUCUUUCAAAUAACAGGUGGCAGAUCAUAAAACGAAAUUCUAAAUUGUAUCUACACAUUCCACAUUCCUUACUGUGUCCUACUACUGUAUCUUGGCUCCCUGCUGUAUUAAACACCAUCUUAAGCACUUGUUCCUGCAGGACUCCUUCUUGACAUUUUGUCUUCCCCCUCAAAGUCACUCAAGGGUGGGACUUCAUCAAAAGAAAUGAAUUAGUCUCCAUCACACCUAAUACUAAGAUUUAUUUCCUCUGAUGGUAUGUAGAUUUCUCUCUCACUAAGAGGAAACUCUCAUAGAGGAAUGGCUUGUCAGCUUUAUACUUGCCGAGGCUAGACUGGCAGUAAAAAUGAGUUGGGUAGUUAAAGUGGCAUUCGUUAUAUUGGCCUAUAAAAGGAUCAGGUCCGUGAUAAUACCUCUACAAACACGCAAUAAUAAAACAAUAGUUACAGAAGAAACUUGAAAGGUUUGCAAGGUUUCUCUUAUUCCUGUUGAAAUAAUCAUUUAUUAUCUCUUUGUUCAGUGUUAAUAAGGUAACCCAUGGCAGAAAAAUUUGAGUAACAGUUCAUCAUGCAGAGGAUAUGGUCAAGAUAUUACCUAAUGGCUUUAUCCUGAAAAAGGUGUAUACGUUGACAAUGUGAGUGAAUCCAAGAUGGUGAAAUUUCCCAUGGCAGAUGGCAUGGGCACACUUGAUUUUUAUUGUGAGUGAAUGUAAUCAUUCUGUAUUUUACCAGAGGUGUAGAAAUUAGCCCAAAAGUUUCCUCAACACUUUAAUGGUGUUAGGAAUUUAGUUUUCGUAUUAGUUGUCCUCUAGAGACCGCAGCUUCCUAGUUAUUUCCAUGAUGUUGGGUGUGGCUAAGCUGGGGAUGGGUUCUGCUGAGCCUGCUCUGGUGUAGAGGAAAGCUAUCUUUAUACUACAUCUUUUCUCCACUUUCAGGUAGUGAAAAUAAACUAUGAUUUUAAAAAAAG